GAUGAAGAACGUAGCGAAAUGCGAUAAGUAAUGUGAAUUGCAGAAUUCAGUGAAUCAUCGAGUCUUUGAACGCACAUUGCGCCCCCUGGUAUUCCGGGGGGCAUGCCUGUCCGAGCGUCAUUGCUGCCCUCAAGCACGGCUUGUGUGUUGGGCCCCGUCCUCCGAUCCCGGGGGACGGGCCCGAAAGGCAGCGGCGGCACCGCGUCCGGUCCUCGAGCGUAUGGGGCUUUGUCACCCGCUCUGUAGGCCCGGCCGGCGCUUGCCGAUCAACCCAAAUUUUUAUCCAGGUUGACCUCGGAUCAGGUAGGGAUACCCGCUGAACUUAAGCAUAUCAAUAAGCGGAGGA
rnacentral:misc_RNA from 1 species